GAUGAACGCUGGCGGCGUGCCUAAUACAUGCAAGUCGAGCGAACGGACGAGAAGCUUGCUUCUCUGAUGUUAGCGGCGGACGUGAGAGUAACACGUGGAUAACCUACCUAUAAGACUGGGAUAACUUCGUGAAACCGGAGCUAAUACCGUAUAAUAUUUUGAACCGGAGGGUUCAAAAGUGAAAGACGGUCUGGCUGUCACUUAUAGAUGGAUCCGCGCUGCAUUGGCUAGUGGGUAGGGUAACGGCCUACCAAGGCAACGAUGCGUAGCCGACCUGAGAGAGUGGUAGGCGACCCUAGAGCUUGACCGCGGUCCAGGCUCCUGCGAGACGCAGCAGUAGGGAACGGGACGCAAUGGGCGAGAGCCUGACGGAGCGAGGGCGCGUGAGUGAUGAAGGUCUUCGGUGCGUAAAGCUCUGUUAUUAGGGAAGAACAGAUGUGUAAGUAACUGUGGACAUCUUGACGGUACCUAAUAAGAAAGCAACGGCUAACUACGUG
rnacentral:rRNA from 1 species